rnacentral:lncRNA from 1 species
CUUGCUCAUCCCUUACUUAGGCUACAUUUUCAAAAGUCAGAAAAAACUUUUUCCUGAAGAAGGGGUUUCUGAGACAAGACCCCUAUUUGUGACCAAUUGUAAGAUCAUCUGAAGAUCGAGUCCGAUUGCCUGGCCAGGCCGGGCUGGGUGGUAUGUGCCCCCGUCACGCCGGAGGUUCCUGCUUUAGCGACGCCAAAGAUUGGGUGUGAGGGCAGCCCGCGGUGACAGAGACACGGAUCGGACCGAGAGAAAAAGGCUGUGGGCUUCACUGAGCAGAGUGACGAAUUUCAACCCUUCUUGCUACAUUCAAGACAUAGAAAUCCAGCCAGAAGACAACUCGAGAUAUUUUGUGGAUCUAUGCCUUUCCUUCAGAAAAGCAAAUAUCUACCAUAAAAAAACACUGGUCCAAUAUUCACUUCUAUAAGAAAUGCAGGGGCAAAUAAAUUAUGGAUUUUAUUAUCGCUAAUAGAGUCACUUAACCAUUACUCCUUACUACAUUCUGCUUUUCUAACAAAAUUUCGACUGAAUAUUCUCCCUCAGAGCCUCCAAAAGGAACCAACUGAUGACAACUGAUUUUGGACUUCUGGCCUCCUGAACUAUAACAAAAUAAACAUCUGUUGUUUUAAGCAAGC